UGGGGAAUUUUGCACAAUGGGGGAAACCCUGAUGCAGCGACGCCGCGUGAUUUAGAAGGCCUUCGGGUUGUAAAAAUCUUUUCUAUGGGAAGAAAAUGACAGUACCAUAGGAAUAAGGACCGGCUAAUUACGUGCCAGCAGCCGCGGUAAUACGUAAGGUCCGAGCGUUGUCCGGAAUCAUUGGGCGUAAAGGGUACGUAGGCGGGUAAGCAAGUUAGAAGUGAAAUCCUAUAGCUCAACUAUAGUAAGCUUUUAAAACUGCUCAUCUUGAGGUAUGGAAGGGAAAGUGGAAUUCCUAGUGUAGCGGUGAAAUGCGCAGAUAUUAGGAGGAAUAACGGUGGCGAAGGCGACUUUCUGGCCAUAACCUGACGCUGAGGUACGAAAGCGUGGGUAGCAAACAGG
rnacentral:rRNA from 1 species